GGGAGAGUCGCUCUCGCUCGCUCUCGCACACACACACACACACACACACGCGCACAUACACAUAUACACGCGCGCGCGCGCGCACACACACGCAUGCACGCGCGCACACACACACACACACUCACACACACACGCACACACACGCACACGCACACACACCCGCCCGCUCGGCUCCGCUCCCGAGCUGCCUCAGCAAGGAGGAGCGCGGACGGAAAACACCCGGGCAGCAAGGAUUUGGAAGUGGAGUUCCUGGAGAGUGAUCCUGGCAAUGAGUGCGUGUUUCGGUGAAAGCUGAGGCUGCUUGUUAUUUACUAGGAGACUGAGAAGAGAGGGGACCCUGGAUGUCAGUUCAUUCUCCGUUUUUUAUUUGUCUUGACUUUGAGGCAGAUUUCCUCUUUCAGCUCUGGAAACUGACAGGUACAAUUCCUCCAGGCACCUUUGCAUGUCUCAGAAACAGGACAAAGACCAUGAAGUUGAUAUGUCAGUGCUUUUUCUAGUUAACCAGUGGUACGCCCUUCUAUUAAUUGCUAUUAGAAAGUGCAACCUUGUUGAAUGUUAUUGAAUAAUCAUUAAUCCAUGGAGGAUGCACAAGCCCAAAGGUUAAUAAUAGGAAUAACAAUUAAUAAUGUUGACCUUGCCAGUAGGGAGUGUAUUUUUGUCACAGUUAUUAAAAGGCACAUGGAUUUAUUCAGUGUUCAGUGGUGUAAAUUUGGACCCAAUAUGCUGAGUACCAAAUUCUGCAGCAACACCAGAAAUUAAUUUUCCUCAUUAUCUCCAUGAUAUCAGGCCUCUGACUUUUUCUCCCUUUAAAAUGUAUCAUCCACUACUCAUUUUAAACAGAAGUACUGUGUCUUUUAUCAAUUCUGACAUUUGCACUGGAAAAUAACAUAGAGCUCUCUUACGCAGAUAAAAAUUUAUUUGCCUGAAGCUGAUUUGUUGUAGUGCUUUGGACCUAUUAAAUUCUCAGAGAGGAUUCAGUUUUUUACAGUCUUCAGGUACCAUGGGGUAAUAAAUAGAAAGUAAGUACAAAGGGGGCAUUCUCAGUUCUGUAGGUCCAACUCUUGGCUCCCUAGAGCAGCUUCCCUGCACAGCUACUCUGACUAAUCAGCGCCUUUCUGUUGUCAAAGACCUGUCUUCUUUGUCUAUAUCAGACUCUUCUGACUGACUGGUCAGUAAGUCCUAAUAAUAAUCAUGUUUCAUGUCUCAGAAAUCUAAUAAUCAAGUUACUCAUAAAUUGCAGCUAAGCUAUUUGGGUUAGUCGCAUUAUCCCCACUUUAAAGGCAGGGAAACUGAAACAGGAAAAUUAACACAUUUGCCCGAGGCCACGCAUGGAUUUUAGAUCCAGGACUGAAACUGAAUUUAGACUGAGCUCCCUCUUAAAGAUUCUAAAGUGCACUAUGGAAAAUGCAUCUUUGAAAAGGAAAUUUAAUGUAAACUUUAUUUUUCAUCAAUUUUGUGUAUUAGUCAAAAUGAACACACCUUUUUUUCAUAUCACAUUACCUUUUCUAAAGAUAAGGUUUAUCCAGGUUUUUAAAAAGGUGUGGUGGUACUUUUCAAUGACAUAGUGAAGUAUACUGUGGAAACAAGAAAUAUUUCAUAUGAGAUUGUGAGCAGUAAUGGGAACUGAAUUGCUUGUUGUUAGGUUACAGUUAACAGUGUUUGCUGGGUGUUACGGUGUCAACAAAAUAUAGUGAGAAGUCUGGCAUUAGUAUCAAUAAGGUGCUGUUGCUUACCUAGUGUGCAUCGGUUUUCGCCACAAUGCUCCUUCAGCACUUUCAGGAUCAAAAUACUUAACAUGUGUUUAAACAUUGAAAACAUACAGGGCAACCAUAUACUGUGUUUGAGAGUUACAAUUUAUAGCAUUAGGCAGUGAGUUUUACCAAGUUGUGUCAUCAUGUCAAUGAGGAAAGAUGUAUACUGCCUGCCCUUUAGUGUGGCAUGUCAUCAAAGCUGCAUUACAGUAUGACUGAGCACAAAUGGCAUGCCUAAAAAUCAGGUGUACAAUAUAACUUGCUUGUUACUGACACACAGAUAUUUCCUCUUCCUGAAUGUCCACCCCCAGAUGUUUGCUUGCCCAACCUUCUACAGGAACUAUCGAAAGUCCUGCUCAUCCCUAAUGGCUGGGAUUGUACAGUCAAAACCCUAUGCAGAAUAAAUGUUCACGUAUAUUUUUAUGUAUUUAUUCUGACAGAUACAUUUUGAGCUUUUUUAGAGUCCUGGUUUGAGGGAAGUGGGUGCAAUCUCACUCAAAUAAUCAUUCUCCAAUACCAUUAGCGUUACCUGCCAAAAAUGAAAGUGGCAUAUGAAUCACAGUAAGCCACUCAUGAAUUUGUUGAUUUAGAGCCUGCCAAGGAACACCAGAAAUCCACAUGAUUUCAAAGUCCUACGACUUUUAGGGACUUUGAACAAUAUGUAGAAGUACAUUUAUUCAAAGACCAUUUUACUGAUAACCCAUCCUAUAGGGACUACAGGCAUAACCAACUUAAGUGAAGGACUAUAUUAACUGAAACUAUUUCUGUUUCAGUGUUUCUCUUUCAAGUGAGGUAGUGAAAGUGGUGAAUCUGCUAGUUGAAACUAUGUCAGAGGCCCUUCCUGAGGUGUCCCUUAUUGAAGUGCUACUGUGAUAUACAGAUGUGGAAAUAACACUUUUGUGUGAGAAGAGAUACUGGAUCCUCUGGGAAAUAUCACAGAUGCUUUCCAGUUCCUUUCAGACAUGUAAAUAUCUUGAUGUUUAGACAUGAGUAAAGAAGGGUGGGAAGUGAAGUGAGGAGUAGAGUGAGGUUAAAAUCAUCCACAUAGAUCCAGGAACCAAAUAAAUACAUGUGGGUUGGGUUUUUUCUUUUCUGUAUCUGAUGUUAACUGGGGCUUGAAUUGAAAUGUUCAUUACUGAGAAGACACACUACAUGAAUGUGUGCAUACUUGAGAGUUAUGUUGACCCAAUGUUGAUAGAGAAGGCCAUCUUCUGCCUCAAAUUAUAAAUGAUCAACAGAACUCUCAGUAAUACUCAGAUACUUAGGUCAUUCCUAAGUAAUAUCUACCUUAUCAAGUAUGGCUUUUUUCAGCUUGUAGUACAUGGCUAAUGCUAUAGCAGUGAAAAACAUUAAAUGCCAUCUAGCACUUCUUAUGAUUGCUUGCUUUUUGCAUGGUUUGUUUUUAGCUAAGCACGUCAGAAAUUAGAAAUAACAUUUAAGUCUUUUUUACCUCUUAACUUACAAACCCAGAAGCCUAAGUUUUGUAAUCUAUUUAUAUGUUAGUACUUGUGAAGCACAGCGAUAAAACCUGCUUAGUAGCAUGGUCUACAUGUAGCUGUCUCAGCAGCUUGAUGACUUAGUUUGAGUAACUAUGUUCCAACCUGUAUUAGCAUUAUCUGUCAUAGAUGAAAAGGGCAGUGAAUGAAUACAGCCAUUCUGAAGUUGCCUCCUGUGCAUAUGUUAAACGCAAGUGGCCAUCAUUAGCUGUACCAUAACCUUGUCUGAUGUUUCAUCUUGGUGGUGGCUCAGUAGAAGACACUUGGAUGAUUUUCUGAAUGUGGCAACUGCUUUCAGUGUAUUUCUGCAGUCGAUUAUUCUACUCUUUGUUGGUUAAACACCAAUCUCCUGAGCUUAGGCCUAUGCCAUCUCACUACCUGAACGCCUCUCCAGAAAGUUUGUCUGCUGAACUGUGUAUCAUGUCAAUAAUAACAAAUUCAUCCGUUCAUCUCCAGACCAGCUUACGUUUCCUCCAGUCAUUCACUGAAGGUUCAUGUUUCCAGGCCCUGCUGCUACACAGUACCUCAGUCCAUUCAGCUUCUCUCCAAAAUGGUAACUACUUUCUGCUUCACAUCUCUGUUACAGGAGAACUAUUGAUUGCCUAAAAAGUAAACUGUAUCCUGUAAUGUCCUCUUAAAACUUCUGCUUUAUGGAACAGAAGAUUAAUUUAUUGCAGGUGUAUCAGUGAUAUCAGACUGACUUCUGCUUUGCCUGACUGCCCUCUCUAUCUUCUGUCAGUCUAAAAUUACCAUUUUGAAAGGAUUGAAGGGGUUGUAUUAAUAUUUGUGUGAAUCACUUUUCGUGCACAUUGUUUCUGCUUUUCUCCUUCCCUUUGGUGUCUGGUUUGUCUUGGCUGCUUUUAAAAAUUCUGUUGCCUCUAGUGAGGGACUGCAAGAUUAAACCAGUGAAGAGAAACCAGAUGACUGUCUACUUUCACAAAUGCAGUUGUGUAUAAUAAAUUCAGGUUUUACAUCUAUGCAAAUUACAUCAUCAUAUGAUUAUGACUACAUGCAUUUUUUUAUCAAAUAUGGCAUAUAUUUCACAAAUUAUAUUUAACUUGUAGUUAUGUUGCUAUUCUUAAUACCUAACUAGGAGUUACAAGGUGUGCCACUAAAUCUUAGUAAAUAGAUUUAUGAAAACAGAAAAAAUAAGGCAAAAAUCACCUUUUUUUUUGUUGGUAAGUCCAGUGGAAAGGUUUUUCCUGCUAUAGGUGAUAAUGUAGUAAACACUUUACCACAGAACUGUUUAGAAACACAAGUAUAAAUGGGUAUUAGAAAUGUAGAGAUUUUGUAAAGGCCUAAACAAAAUAUGCCCAGAAUAAGGAAGUUUUAAAGCAACGUGUCUUUGGUCUGGAGUUUACUGCAUCUAGUUAGUUGGAAACUAGUUAGAAAAUAGGAUUUAGCACAAUUCUCCCUUUGGGGUUCAUCGACAGACAGGACAGUUUUAGUGUAAAGCCCUAAGCCUUGCAGUGAUUCCUAACCAUAGGUGCACCAUACGUUGAAUAAUCAGUCAGCUGAGCUAUGGCAAGGAUUAUGCUGUGAACGUGACAACUCAAUGCUUUCAGUGUUAACUGUCCUUAACAACUGCUUUUUUUCUCAUAAAUAAAAGGAUAUUUUGGUGAGCACAAA